UGCUGGAGGGGACCAAAAAUUAGAAUCCGCCGCUGAACCUAGAGCUAGACCCCUAAAAAUCAACCGCAAAUCUCUUUCUUUUUUCAGAAAAACGGCAGUUUCAUGCCCAAAUUCCACUUUUUUCUGAUUCUUAAACCAUCUUUCCUUUUCCAUUUGAAGACACACACAUAUACAGAAGGAGAUUAAACAAAGGAAAUGGAAGUUUAGCCAUCAAAUAGCUAAAAAUAGCUUUAAACCCAGCUGACUACAAAAUGAAAAACAGUCUUCCCCCUUUGAUUUUUGGGUUCAUCUCCUAUCUCUCAAAAUUCAACUCACACAUAUAAAUACUACACUAGUCAUAACAAAAGGGGAGGGCACAUCGAGUUCUGGUGAAAGUUCGAGGUCGAUAGUGCAUGCCUUUCCGUCGAGGUCUCUAUCGUGAUUCCAUCUUUGGAACAAAUCAUCAGUUAAAAAAUCAAAAGUGAAAGUCUAAUAUUAAGUAUUUUCCAUUCCACAUUGGUCUAGAAUCAUUUCUAUUCACGGAGGAGUACUUUUCAAUUUUCAGUUCUUCAAAAUAUUUACCUCUUCAUUUUCUCAUCAAUCUCCUAUAAUUUCAGGUAUGAUUCUCUCCCAAUGUUCUCUCUGUCUACUUUUUUUCUUUGAUUUUUUCAGAUCUCUGAAUAGUUUCCUAUUCGAGGCUUCAGGUUCGUCCAAGAAAAAGCCCUAACAGAUUCAAUUCACCCUUCCCGAACUACACACCAUUUUUUAUUUGAUUUAGGCAAAUUUUUAACUAAUAUAUUGAUAUUCUUUAUUAUUUUGAGUUAUGUGGACAAUAUAUACAUAUACCGAGGCUUUGAAUAUUUUGGAUCCCCGCUAAUUUCAAUCAUUUUUAUUUUUGAGAAUUUUUUGCAAAUUCAAUUUUUCGGAUUCCCAGAUGCAUAUCUGUUUAUACAGAUUUUGCUCAUUCUCAUCCUAAAGUUUGCCCCUUUUGUUCCUCUCAAAUACCGAAUUGAAUGUUGUUGCUUUGUAUAAUAUUUUCUUGGUUGUUCUACUAUGGUGCCAUUAUUCUGUCUCUAGAGAAAAGGAAAAAUUAAAAUGUUAGUUUAGCCUGAAAAGGCCUUUUAUUGCUUUGAUAUGGUUUCCCUUUCUAUUUUUUGUGUCAUGGUUUAUUCAAUCUUUUAACUUUUCGUUUCUACCUAAAAAGUUCUCUUAUUCAGGAAGAAACUCAAGUAGAUCAAAAUGCAUUUCAAAACACCUAUUAAUGAAAAUUAUACUAUUUUUUGGAAAUGAUCCCAUAGAGUAACAUGUUGAUCCUGCAUCAAAUUCAAUAAUCAAAGCGUUUCUUUAAUUGUUGUUGGUGUUGUUGUUUCAGUAGCAGAUAAAUUCAGCCACUCCUACCUUUCUCACUUAUUUCUUCUUUCAUUAAACGGACUUGCACUCAUACUUUCAGUUUGCUUUUUCAUCAGACAAAUUGAUGAUAAUACGAAGGAAGAAUAAUUCUAUGUUUCCACCA